rnacentral:tRNA from 1 species
GGCGCCAUCGUCUAGGGGUCUAGGACACCGCCCUCUCAAGGCGGAGGCACGGGUUCGAUUCCCGUUGGCGCCA